GGAAAAGCUUUGAAGGAUAACAGUAAUCUGCUUUGCAAGCAGGAUGUCAGCGGUUCGAGUCCGCUAACCUCCA
rnacentral:tRNA from 1 species